UAUACAACUAGGAGCCUCAUGGGUGCACCAAGAAGAAAUAAGGGAAAAGAUACUAUUUCUCAUAGUGUGAAAAAAGGAAAUAAGGGAUUUAUCGUGCAUUAUAAACAAUUUAAAUUUUGAGCCUUUAUCACUUAACAUAUUAGAUAUCGGCAAAGGUUGAACCGUUGACCUCCUACCAACCAAAUAAGGAGCAACAAAUCCAACUGAGCUAGAUCCAUUCCUAAGUCAAACUGACAAUAAAAAUUUGAAAUAAUGUUGGAAUAGAUUUAUUGACACAAACUCAAAACCCUAAGUUUGAAAUAUUACUCAUUCUCCUCUCAAAUUUUUGGGGCGACCUGCAGCUGCUUGAUACUAUUUCCGCACCAUUGACAAAUGUAGGAGUAUAAUUAUUAUGCAUCAAAAGAAUUUAAGAAAGUAAUACGCACCAGACAUUACAGAAUCAGUGUAAGCAUUUUCUUCGUGGAUGUAAGAGAGGAGCUCUGGGUUAGAGCGAGAGUCAUCACGGAGCCAGUAGUAGUUGUCUACUCUAACGUCCCCAAACAACUCCAUUUCGUGCCUCACUUUCUUUGGCGCCGGCGGCGUGGUGUUUACCAUAGCUCGCAGGGAGAAAAUGGAAGAACCUUUAGAGUGAAA